UACAGAGGGUGCGAGCGUUAAUCGGAAUUACUGGGCGUAAAGCGCGCGUAGGCGGCUUUGCAAGUCGGGUGUGAAAUCCCCAGGCUUAACCUGGGAACUGCAUUCGAGACUGCAUUGCUAGAGUAUGGGAGAGGGAAGUGGAAUUUCCGGUGUAGCGGUGAAAUGCGUAGAGAUGUGGAGGAACACCAAUGGCGAAGGCAGCCCCCUGGGUCGAUACUGACGCUGAGGAGCGAAAGCGUGGGGAGCGAACAGG
rnacentral:rRNA from 1 species